GUUUGAUUAGUUUCUGUUUGGUAGUGUUGUUGUGAUUGUGUGCAUGAAUGUGAAGCUUUAUUGUUAUGGCGGUUUAGAGUGCUGAGGAACCGGGUGUGUUUUGUGUGUUUCGGUGCAUUACAGAGAGAUAAUCCUUUUCGCAAAAGAGUAGUGAGUUAGCGAAUUAGGUGAGAGUAUGAAAAUGAAUAUGCAUACCUGCCAUGCAACGACGGCGGGAGCGCUUGCUUCCGGCUCCGGAAUGGGGGUCUGCAGGCUUGGGACGUGCCUUGGCAACCUAGGGUGGAGAGAUUUGUCGACUACAAGCUUUGGCGAGCGGAAUUUGAAGCUGAGAGUGGAGAUUGGUAAAAUACAACAGAUUUCGGACAGGGAGAAUGCUAGGGAAUCGAGGAGGUUGGUCUGUAGCGCAGUAGGUGGCGGAAGGGAUUUGUACCAACCUUUCCGACCUCCAAUCAAUAUUGAGACACCGAGUGGCGCCACGACAGUCACGGAGCAGUUAGAGAUUUUGAGAGAGCGACGCGGGUUGUGGUACGAAUAUGCCAGCCUCAUUCCAAUUCUGGUUCGGUCUGGUUACACCCCCUCCAUGAUUGAAGAAGAGACGGGAAUGACUGGAGUGGAACAGAACAUUAUAGUGGUGGGAUCGCAGGUACGUAACUCUCUCAAAGCCAACGGAUUCGAUGAGGAGAUGCUUCGGACUUUUGAUCUCGGCGGAGGCGAGCUGCUUUACGAGCUUCGAAUUCUCUCUGCACAGCAGCGGAGAACUUCAGCGGAGUUUGUCAUCGAGCGCAAAAUGAGCCCAAAGGAAGCCUGUGAGCUUGCGCGCUCGGUUAAAGACUUUGAGAGACGGAAGAAUUCCGAGGGUUACAAAGAAUUUACAUCCGCCCCUGGAGACUGCCUGGCGUUCGCCUUCUACCGCAAGAGCAUAGAAUGCCAGGACGAAGCAGAAAUUGAAAAGAAUCUCCAGAAGGGAUUACAAUUUUGCGUUUCGGACAAGGCCAAGGCCAAAUUUCGGGAUGCACUGAAGAAACUCGCCGGCAAAGCCGUCUCUGAGGAACUGGAGGAGGAGGGAAAAACUUUCCUGCAAGUAAUUCGUCUUCUGGAGGGUGAGGCCGUCGGCACCAAUCUUCCAGUCAUGCUGCCCGUCGCUGACGCAACCCUAAAGUCGUUCGAAGAUGUUCCAUCUGUCCGACCACAGGGUGAGGGUCCAUUCAAUGUGUUCUCCAUCAAUGCCUGGACAUCCUGGGUUGCGCUUCCGGGUUGGCAUCCUAUUGUCAGUGCUGGAGCUCCUGUGGCGGUUAACUUUCCUGAUGCUGCUAAGCUUCCCUUGCAAUCCAAUAAAAAUGGGGUUCCUAGGUUGCAAGAGCCCACUCUAAUAAUCGUAGACAAGUCAGACACGGAAGCUGACGAUAACCAAUGUUUGUACGUAGUGGCUCAGAAGGAUAGCCAGGAGCUUUCAAUCUCAUCUGCCGGUAACGUUUUAGAUAGCAGAGUUCUAGGGAGGGUGAUCUUUGCCUUGAGACCCCCCGUCCCACCCUCUGAGGAAGCAGUGGAAUGGGAGUAGAAAGUUAUGGAUUUCAGAUAUAUUUCGAGUACCAAAUUGUAGCUUCUCAUAUGUUCUAAGUACAAUGGAGCAGGCUGCAUUAUAUGUUACACUCUUUCAUUUGGUGAGGAAUGUGAGGUAGUCUACUUACCCUGCAUGCACUCAUUAGAUAUCGAAACUGACUCAGGGCUCAUUGUUCAAUUUUUGAAUAUCUUAGCACGCAAUACUCGAAUACGAGUGUGACAAUAUUCUAUUCAACCGGUGAUCCUAAGACAUGCCCAGUUUUGAGAUCAUCGUAGGAGGGGAUGCAAGCGCGAAUUUCCCAUUUCUAGAUCCGCACUGUGCCAAGCUUAAACAAAGCAUCUGAAUAUGACCAAAUAGGGUAUCCUUACUAUAUUAUACUAUGCGUGAGAAAUUAGCGAUGUAAGAAACACUAAUUAGUUUCUUCAGUUGUUGAAAGUGGCUGUUUUGAAUUCAUCAUUGCGUCUGCAGGUUCAUCCUGCAACCAGAAGACAUUUUCUGUAAGAAACGACCUGGAAAUAACAGAGCUGUAUACCCGACACCUAAGGGUGAUUCCAUCUACAUUGUGUCCAUUGUGUCACAGGACGGAAGGUAGCAUAAGAUACACGUGUUGAUCCUAACACUAGUCCAGCAAUUGACCUGAAGAGCUUUACGACAUGUGCUAAACGCAUACAUCGACUAUUGUGGUCCUUGUGGCAUGAUACAGAAACCAUCUCAAUAAAAAUGAAGUAAAAAUUGUACCAGCUUUGCUAAUUUGGUGGCCGUAAGCUCUCGUUGCUGUUUCAAAGUGUUUCUCAAGUCUUGAAAUUCCUGAGAGAAGUAAAAAGAAUUUCAAUACAUCACUCGCUGGUAUUCUCCUUGAAAACUAGUUACCUGACUUCCUGUCUAGAAUCCCACCUACAGAGAAGCAGAGUAGACUUGAAAAGAUCUUAUCCAUUAGAGACGCUAAACUAGUCAACCUAUAUUAGCUUGAAAAUCACCGCGUCCCAUUGACCAAUCGGAUGAUGGAUUAUGAGAACUAAUGCAUAAUAAUGAAGUAUCAAAUGAGAUCAUAUAACAUCUUUGAGAGAAACUCAUGCACGAAAGAACAUGAACUUACAACUCGGAGUUGUUCAACCUCGGAGUUGAGAGCGCUGCGUAGAUCUCCAAGUUCCUGAAAAGGUAACACACCCACAAAUAUGAAACUAGUGCUUGCAUUAUACAUAUCAUCUUGGACUCGGGACCGUAAGACACAUGCAUUUUCACUAUUUCGUAGUUGUAUCUAUUUCAAAUGUUUGUCAAUGUCACGUAUUAUUAAGUACUUUCCUUCAAAAAUAAAACCCGACAAUUGCGGCACGUAAAACAGAUAUUACGCAUCAAGAGCUACAAUAGAAAUUUAAUUUGAUGGCGCGUUAUGUUACAGUCUGCGGGCUGCUGGAGUUCUUCGGGCCUAAGUCUGAACAAAAGUUUCAGACAAAACCUUCGGAAAUAAUCACAACAGUUUGAUCGAAACUCGUUUUAAGAAAACUGACCUCCCUGUACGACUUGACUUGAGUAUCCAACUUCCCCCGCCAGUUCUCUAGAUCCUGCCAAGCAAUUGGUAGAAUAUCCAAUUAUUGAGCACCAGGCUUUUCAUACAUAGCUAAUGGUAUAAGUUUCCACUACUUUUAGUACUUCUUCGGCAUGUAGAAGUGAACGAACAUGUAGCCUAGAUUAGAAACAAGCUCUAACUGUGAUGAUACUUCGGGGCACAGGGACACGAUAUGGUCCAUAUUCCGAGGCCAGUUUCAAAGCUUUCCUGUUCGCCUUUACCUUCUUCAGAGCUUGCACACGCUGUAGCAACUCAUUCCUUGACUCAUUUAGUCCUUUUGUCACCGGAAGCUCCUGAGAAUCAUCUCUUUGGUAAGGAGGAUAUUCAUUAAGACCACUUUUCACAUACUACGAGACACCGCAAGGUGGAAACAUGAGAGGCACAACAGAUGGCAUCCUCCUGUAAAUUAAGAAAGAGCAUUCAACAUAAAAACUACCGGCUACAUAUGAUAGAUGUUAAGGCGAGAACAAACGUAUGAAAGAGAAUGAUCACUGGUUAAGUCAAUUAUGAGGAUAUAAUUUCUCACAGUUGGAGCGGGCUCUUGCAAUGGCCCCAAAGCUUCACUGUGAUGACUUUCAUCGACACUCAUUUCCUUUGCUCCCAUAGCCGCUGCGUCUCGUAAGCUUGUAACCAUAGCGACUGCAUUUGGUCCCGUGUUCAAUGCCUCUGGCAGACGAGCGUCUACAGUAUUUGGCUUGGACUGCGUAUCCAUAGCUUCAGGCAGGGUACCUUCAAGAGUCAUGUCCUGUAUACACAGGGGCAUGUAAUUAUGAGCUGUAACUACAGCUAUUUGUCACAUAGUCAUAAAAACUACAGCAAUCGCUGUGUAACCACAGGUCCAGUUUUAGGGCAGCGUGGAGUAUGGACAUAAUCAACGCGAAUCGAUGCUCAACUAUGGCUGGAGAGCAACAAACAUAUUUUCAAACAGGUUUAUGUUUUAUAUCAUAUUGGAAUACCGCAACGACGGCUCACAAUCACUUGAAGAGCAGUACAGUUAUGCUCACAUAGACUAGAAGAGGAUCGAGCAUACAAAUCACCGAGUUCAUUGCAAAAAUCUAACUACACGAAACCUUAAAGCUGGACAGAUGAGACAUGACAUCAGAAUGAUUAGAUACAGGAAUAGAGAACAUAAAAAAUUUUAACAAAAAAUAAAAAAUAAAAAAAGUGCGGAAGUCAAAGAAGCUUACAUUCUUCUCUGGGGAGCUAGAAAGAGACGGGGAAGCACUAGAAUCCGCCAUGGAUAAAGACCCGACACAGCAAGUGCUACUUACGCUCGAUGAUCUUUAAAGUGAUGCGCAACCUACACGCUACAAAAAUCCCCGCAUGCGAAACGUAAUCUCAGUCACAAGGAUAGUACCAAGACCUCAAACAUCCAACCUCCAACCCUAACCACAUUAACAGCAUCUUAUCUCCAAAAUAUCUGGCUGAACGCAUACAAGAGAUAUGCACUGACUCUACGGGCUCAACAGAAUACCGCAUCAGCAUUAAGUACACUAAAAAUCAGAAAAGACAACAAUGCAGCAAAAUGCGAGCACAAGCGCACCUCAGAGCUCCUCGAAAACGCAUUACAAAACGAUCGAAUUUCAAUCCGAGCAGAGGAAACAUCGAUUGUCGUGAUGCUACGGUGUUAGUGGCUACAGAUCCGAUGCAAUGGUGUGAGGGAUCAUUGAGGGGUUGCCCCAGAUAAUCCAGGGUCUUUUGGAAUUUACCGAUACAAGGCAAGGCUGUGGGAAUGCGGUGCAGUAGAAUUCAAAACUCUUUCGAAACGACGCAAGCAAAGAUCUAGCUAAGGCGCCAUGAUUCCCAGGUAGGGGUUUGAACGCUAUGGAUGUAAAACCACUUUGUAGAGUCAUCAUAGUAGAUGUUUCUCUUUACUACGUGAACGUUUUUCGUCGUCAUGGAUAGGGCCAGAAGUUCAUCCCCUGCAGUCCAGAAUAGCAAUGCAAAACAAUGAUAAAAGGAAACACUAGCAAAAUAUUUUCGGUGCAAUUUUUUUUAAUGGCAGCAUUCUACGAUGUUUUGUGCAGAACUGAAGACUGUCAUGGAUAAUUAUUGUCAUGAAAUUUAGCAUUUAAAAAUAGUGGAUUAUGUAGACGUGUAUAUCUGUACUCGUGGGAAUAAUUAUAUGUACGCACUUAUUUGUACAAAUGUACAUAUACAGGAAACAACUUCUAUAAUUGUCAUGGUAAAUUUCUUUUUUUAUAAUAACUAAAUUAUUGACAAAAAAAAUAAUGAUGUCUUUCAUUUGCACGUUAGUAUUACAAUUGAAUCGGCGUGGGGCGCGAAGGGGAGUGUGGUGAUGCCCUAACGAUGGGAACGGGGAAAGCCCUAAUGGAAGGGAAUGGGAACGGGGAAAGCCCUAAUGGAAGGGAAUGGGAACGGGGAAAGCCCUAAUGGAAGGGAAUGGGAACGGGGAAAGCCCUAAUGGAAGGGAAUGGGAACGGAGAAAGCCCUAAUGGAAGGGAAUGGGAACGGGAAUGGAAAGGGAGGCUUCGGAGCCCAUGCGAGGCGAGGCGUGUGCGAGUUUGUCCGGGUGGGUGGGUAUAUGUAGAGACAGAGAGUGAGGGAUUGAGGUAUCUGAUUGUAGCGCGGGGGAGGGAUGUUGGGGGUAUGGUAGGAGUGGAGUGGAGUGGAGUGGAGGUGUUCUCACAGCGCAAGGCUGUGGGUGUUGCGGGUGGGUUUGUUUGUGUUUAGGGUUACUGUGGUUUGCGGUGAGUGGAGGCUUCUCUAUCUGAUCCUUGGUUAAGGCCGUGCCAAAGGAUCCGUUCCCUGAAGCAAUAGGACAAGGAGGAAGACGCCUAGGAAACGUGUUCCUUCUAUGCGGCCUUCGCUAUGCCGUGGUCGAUGAUUUUGGUUCGGCCGGGGUACGAUGGGCUGUUGACAGCGUGUAUGUAAAGUGUGAGGGAAGGUGUGGGGUUGGGAGGAGCAGAUGAUGAGAAAAAAGAAUAGGGACAUCUUAGAAGCCCUUCGGGGAUGUGAUGACGUAUUCUAUGGGAAUCUCUAUGAUGCUAUUGGGUGCGGGUGGAGGAGCAGAGGGUUGGAUGUGAGGGUGAAGCGGCGCGGUGGGAGCCGUGUGUUUAGGGUUUAGGGUUUAGGUGAGGGGAUCCCGGUGAUGACGACUUUAGUUGACGAAUCUGAGAUUAAGGCCCAAGGGAAGGCGUGCGGAGCCGGCAGUGCGAUGUAUUAUCGUAAUGCUGGAAGAAGCUUGCCGGAGCUUGGCAGCCGCUGGCUUGCCAGAUUCUCUGAAGCACACACGAGGCAUUUGUCUGAGGGGAUUGACGCAUUGAUUAGGAGUUUGGGCCAUGAUUCGCUGUCCGAAGUUGAUUUCGAGUUUGCCAACAGAAUUGCCACAGUGUUCGGUACAAUUGAAGUAGUAUGAUUGAACAGGAAAUGUAACAAACUAAUAACCAAGUUGACAUACAGGAAACACCCACCAUUCUGUCAAUUCAGAUGCAGUGGGGUGCUACAAUCGACGCAUUGUUCGGAAUCAAAUCGGAAUAAUAACAAAUUUAUUAAAACAAGGUCAAUUUAUUGUUGAAAUAUGUUACGGUUCAGUGCAAGGCAACACCCUGUUCACACUGCUUGAAUCUGUCAGUCUGAUUAAUUACCCUCUGAUACACUCCCAACGUUACGUGUACACUGUUUCACGAAAGACAAAUUAUACAUUCGAUACUUUUUCAAAUAAAUAAAUUUGGAAAUGACAAUCUGGUGUUGACAACUUCUCUCAUUCUUAAACGAAUAGUUUGUGUGACGGUGAAGAAAUUGUUCUUUAAAAUAUAUGCCCGUAUAUGAUUGACGACCAUUUCCAACCCAUACAAAUUAUGUUUCACUGCAAAAUAAGUUUGUAAGUGUAAUGUCCUUUUCAUUUGUGACUAUGUCAAAAUUCUGGACGUUGUAUUCAAAAAACUUAUUUAAAUUACAAGGGAAAAAUUGAUAAAUCAAGCAAUUGAACCAUAGCUUUGUUCCACUCUUUUCCAAGACUACUUCUUUCAAUGUAUUUGGUAAAUUAAGGCUCUAGUUAAUCUAAAUAAGUCAAACGCAGGGAGAAACUGUGGUAGGAAAAUACUUCACAAGACACAAUUUAACUACGAAAAUUGUAAUGUUCGCUGUUCCUUUUUCAAUCCUGGCUGAUGACAAAUCGCUUUAGCAAGUAAAAGAAAUCACUUCAAUUCCAUUUUUAAAUCGAACGGGAUGUUGAAUGUCAAUGUGCUCUAUUGUUGAAUGAUGCUUUGGAUUCUUGGUAAAAACAAGGCAUCCUUGAUUGUCACACUUCAUUGGAGUUGCUUCCAAUUGCACAAAUCCAAUGUCUUCUAAAACUUGUCUUAGCCAUUGUACCAUGACUUGUUGCCAUAUAUUCCGCCUCCAUUGUAGACCUUGCAAUUGUUGGUUGUCUCUUGCAAUUCCAUGAAAUUGCUCCAACUCCAAAAAAACAAUACAUAUUCCGUUGUUGAUCUUCUAUCAUUUGCAUCUCUAGCCCAAUAAGCAUCAUAAUAUCCAUGCUAUGUAAUACUAUUAUCUUCAAGGCAUAAUUUGAAGUUCAAAGUGCCUUUUAAAUACGUCAAAAUCCUCUUAAUGGUUGCCCAAUGAAUUGGUCUAACCUUUGACAUGUGUUGACUCACAACACUCACCGCAUAUGCAAGAUCCACCCUUGUACCAACCAUUGCAUACAUAAGUGAGCCUACUGCUGCUUUGUAUGGAACAUCUUUCAUUUCUUCUUCAACUUCAGCAAAUUCCUCAUCCGUGAGCUUCAUCAACUUCAAAUUUGCCUCCAAAGGUGUUCCAAUGGACUUGCACUCUUCCAUGUUGAACCCUUUCAAUACUUCUUCAAUGUACUUCUUUUGGCUCAAUGUAACGAUCUUUCUCAAACUCCAUUCCUGAGCAAUAGUAGAGCUCUCCCAAAUCACUCAUUUCAAAUUCUUUUGCUAGCUUUGUCUUCAACCAAUCCAUCUUUUUCAAAAUAUUGGUCAAGAUGAUCAAAUCAUCAACAUAAAGAAUAACAAUCAGCAAGAAGGCUUUUGAUUGCAUUACAUAUAUGGAAUCAUCAGCCUCACUCCUCGCAAAUUCUUCAUUCACAAAUAAGGUGUGAAUACGUUGAUACCAUGCCCUUGAUGAUUGCUUGAGUCCAUACAAGGAUUUCUUCAACUUACAUACAAGGUGUUGUUUGCUUUCUUCAACAAAUCAUUGAGGUUGAUCCAUGUAGAUGUCUUCUUUCAAUUCUCCAUUCAAGAAAGCCGUCUUCACAUCCAUUUGGUGCAUUUCCAAGUCCAUUGCUGCCUCAAUUGCCAUAAUGGUUCUAAUGGUGGUGAAUUUGGCUAUGGAAGCAAAUGUCUCAUUGAAAUCAAUACCAGUAACUUGUGAGUAACCUUUGGCAACCAAUCUUUUUAAUCUGUCAAGGACAAGAAUAUGAUAAAAAUAAAUAAACAAAUGAGACUUCUCUCAAAGAAAGAUGAUAAAAUAGAAAUAAAUUGAUAUGUAUAAUAAGAAAGAAAUUGGAAUGGCUAUUGCCAAAAGCCAAAGAAACUAGAGACCCUUGAAACUAGAAAGGAAGCAAGAAAUGAAUUGACAAGAGUGAAGAAGGCUUCACUUUUGUCUCUAUAUAUACUAUCUAACUAGGGACUACGUGGUGAUGUUCUAUAGGACCUCCAAUUUGUGUUGAAUUUAUAGGACACAUGCCUUGACUUACAAGGUAAGUUUUUCUAUGUGUGGGCCACAUAAUUAGCUUGGUCUUCAAGCUAACAAUAUGUGUGGCACAUGGCCAACUUAUUGACCACGUUUUUAAUCCAAAAAGACAAUUAAAGACACCUAUAAAGUCAAAACAAUAUCUAUGAAGCUUCUAAGAAGCUUCAAUAGCAAAUAUUAUAGAAUUAAUUUACUUUUACCUACUUUUACUUACUUCUACGUAUUUAUACAUGUAAUUAUUGGCUUACAUGUGUAUGUCCGUGACACCUUAUACCUCACAACAUUGCCCAUUGCAUCCCUCUUUGUUCUAAACACCUACUUAGAACCAAUUGAAGCUCGAUUUGGUGGAAGUUGAGUCAAUUUCCAUGUUCCAUUGUCCAUAAGGGAUUUGUAUUCUUCUUCCAUAGCAUUCUCCUACUUCAUAGCAUCCAUGGACUUCAUUGCAUCACAUAAAUUCAAUAGAUCAGUAAGAAGUGCAACAUUGGCAUGUUCUUCACUUACUUGAAGAAAAAUGUGGUCCUUCUACCAUUCACCAUGUUGUUUUCUAUCUCUCAAAAGAUAUCUCCUUUCAGUUGAAGAAGUCUCCACUUCUUGCACUCUAUGGUCACCUCCAACCUUCUUUUCUUUUGAAGAUAGACUUUUCUCACUCAAAGAUUCAUAAUUCUCAUCACCAUCAUCAUCAACAUCUUCAUGCUCUUCAUUGCUCGUCUUAGCAAUUGUAGAGGCUUUUUUGUCUACCUUCUUUGCCUCUUCAUCUUCAUUUCUACCUUUACAACCAUCAUUGUCUUUGUUUUCUUCCUUCUUUGCUGAAUUUGAAGAUGCAUCCACAAACACACCAUUACUCCUACUUGGACUCAUCUGUAAGUCCUCACAAGCACUCUUGUGCUCUAAAAACUCAACAUCACGACUUUUGAUGAUCUUUUUAGUCUCGAAACACAUGAGCCUAUAAGCCUUUGUACCUUCACAACAUCCAACAAAUACACAUUUUUCACCUUUUGCAUCAAAUUUUGAUCUCAUACAAUCUGGUAUUUUUACAUAUGCUAUGCAUCCAAAAGUCCUCAUGUGAGAAACACAAGGUUUUCUCCUACUCCAAGCUUCUUCUGGCAUUAUUGAUGUAAGAGCACUUGUAGGACACCUAUUUCUUGUGUACACUGCAUUUACCACUGCUUCCACCCAAAACUCAUGUCCAAGGUGUUAUACAUGAAGCAUACUCCUUGCCAUCUCUAUAAUGGUCUGAUUUUUUCUUUCAGUAAUUCUAUUUUGUUGUGGAAUGUAAGGAGUGGAGGUUUGUCUUGUAAUAUCAUACAUCUUCAAGAAAUCAUUAAAUUACUUUGACAUAUACUCACCUCCAUUGUCCGUACACAAUACCUUGAUUUUACAUUCACAUUGCUUCUCCAUAAGUGCCUUAAAUUCCUUAAACCAUGUGAAAUACUCACUCUUUGCUUUGAGGAUGAAAAUCCACACCUUCCUCGAAAAGUCAUCAAUGAAUGUGACAAAAUACCUUAUACCUCCUAUUGAUGGCAUCCUCAUAGGUCCACAAACAUCAGAAUAGACAAUCUCUAAUAACUUGGUUUCACAUGUUGCAACUCUCUUUGUUGUUUGCCUUGAAUAUAACUUUCACAAGCAAGUGUCAUAGCAUUGUGGCUUAUAUGACCAAGAUCUAAGCCACUUACCAUGGAUUGGAGCUCCUUCAUGCUCUUGGCAUUCAAAUGACCAAAGCAUCGAUGCGAAAUGCCAAACUUGUCUUGAUCUAAAGGAAAUUCAGCAAAUGCCACCACUUCAACUCCAUUCACCUUCUUACACUUGAUGAAGUAGAGGUUGCCAUCUCUAAAGCCCUUUGCAAUAUGAUCUCUUUCCAAUGUCUUCACAAAACACCCAUUCUUAUCAAAUUACACUUUACAACCAUGUAAAAUAAGUUUACUCACGAAGAGAAGGUUUUUCUUCAACUUUGGUACAUGUAAGACGUCCUUUAAUCUGAUUCUCUUGGUUUGGCCUUUGACAACAAUCUCUAUAACAAUGGAGCCCAUUCCAAUAGCUUGUAAUAUGCCAUUGUCUCUCAUGAGGAUAUUUGCUGUUGAAAUCUCUUCAUAAGUGUCAAAUGAACACUUGUAUGGAGUUAUGUACUUGGUGGCACCAGAAUCAAUGAUCUACUUGGACAUGGCAGCCAUGGAAGUACCUUCACUUGCCAUGAAUGCAUAAUCAUCACCUCUAUAUUCAUCACAAGCAUUGUUUACACUUUCUCUAUCUCUUUUCUUAGCCUUGUAGUAAUUUUGAACAAAGUGACAUAGUUUUCUACAAAUGAAGCAAGUUCUCACAUUGUCAUGUUGAUUAGAAUAACUUCCCUUGCCUUGUCUUGAAAAGAGAGCCGAAUCUUCACUUUGGGACUCUUUUUCUUUCCUCUUGGUCACUUCAUGGGUAAGUCUUAUCGUCACAUAAUUCAUUGUGAGUUUUUUUUAGCUUUAUGGACUCCAAUGCCACAAUGAGGUAGUUGUAGGACUCAAAAAGGCUCAUAAGCAAGGUCAUGACAAUAUCACUCUCUUCUAAAGGCUUGUCAACAAUUGUAAGUUGAUUAGCAAGGGCCUUUACCUUAUUGACAUGAACCAUGAGGUCCUCACCUUCUUCCAUCUUUCAAGUGAAGAAUUUCCUCCUUAUGAAGAUGAUAUUGGACAAGUUCUUGCUCUCAUAUAUGUUGCAAAGAGUCUUCUAUACUUCUGUUGGUUCUUUACAAGAGAUGAUGUGAGAAAAGUUGGCUUCAUCCAAAUUGGUGGUAAUCAUGCCAAAAGCCUUCUUUUCACGUCUUGUGAAGUCCUUCCUCUUUUUAGCAUCAGCAUGCAUGCUUGGAAGCUCUUCACUUUCAUCUACAAUAUCCCAAAGGUCCAAAGACGCCAACAAAAGUUCUAUUUUGACCUUCCAAUGGUAGAAAUUGUCACCUCUAAACUUCUCAAUCACUCUCAAAUCUUCACCCUCACUUGAACCCAUGUCUUAGAAGACGUCUAUCAAAAAAUAUCAAGAAAAGGAGUCUCUAUGUGCUUAAAAUCAUCAAAACAAUUUUGUACAAGCAAAAACUCAGAAUGCCCUCUUUUGAACAAAUGAAUGUUUCUUCACUCCAAACACUUCCAAAUCAACUUUUGAAGCUUUUAACAAGUAUGUGAACUCCAAUUAACCUCACCAUUAAGUUCUUCCACUCAUAAAAUUCACUUUCUCAUGACAACACCAAAGACACUAUCAAGGUCUUUGUAUAAGGUCUUAAUCACUCAAUCCUAGGAGUUAAGAACCUUCAAACUGAUGUUAGAGAUCUAUAAGGCCCAAAUCAGAACCUCUACAAGUCAAAACACAAGAUUAGAUCAUACAAUCCUUAACAUCAGCAAACACCAUAAGAUCUAUUCUAUACAAGAACAACAACCAGCAAAUGACUUCAACUUACUUGAAUAGCACAACAAAGUAUAUGUGGGCCCAUAACUUAUUGAAGAAAUAUAACAAACAAGACACAAGUAAGUAGAAAACAACAAGGUUAGACACAAGAGAAGUGUGGAAUGAGAUACCUCUUACUUCCAACACCCUUUACUUAUAGGUAGAAUUUAUAUCCAUUUUGGCUAGCAUUUAUCUUACUUUCAUCCAACUAAACCCUAGAUUCCUCUUAGCCUAGCCGCCACUUUAAACCUUAGCCACCACCUAUAAUCCUAGCCAUGACCUUGGUAACUUUCUUUCAUCUUUUUGCUACCUUUUGACCAUUCGAAACUUUUCUAAGAUAAUAUCUUUUAUCUUCUAACUUAUCCUCCAUUUACUUUAACACUUUUUGCUUUUAAAAUUAAAACAACCAAUAUAAAAGGAUUUUAUAAAUAGAAUAAUUAUCACGAAUAUACAUAUUUAUCUUAAUAAUUAUUUAGAUAAUAAGAAUAUAUAGAAGUAAGUCAAAGUAGAUAAAUAUAAUAAUAUCUUGUAAAAAGCUUCCUAAAAGCUUCAUAGACACUGCUUUGUCUUUAUACAUGUCUAUAAGUGAUUGGUAGGUUGAAAACUUGGCCAACAAGGAAGCCGCGUGUCGACAUGUUGACCACUUGUAGUACAAGAUGGAUAUAUGGCGCACACCUAGGAAACUUGCCUUGCAAAUUAGACAUGUAUCUUAUAAGUUGGAUGCAUAAUAGAUGUCUUGUAGCAUGUUACCACAUAUUUUUUAGUUAAGUAGUAUAUAUAGAGGCAAGAGUGAGGCCUUCCUCACUCUUGUCAACUCCUUUCUUGCUUUUUAGUCUAAUUUCAAGAGUCUUAUGUUUUCAAGUCUUUGGUAAUAGUCAUUCUAGUUCUUCCUUGAAUAUACAUACUUUCUUCUAUUUUAUCACUUUCCUUUUGACACAGAUUCCAGGACUUUAUGCAUUUUUUUCUAGUUUGUAUCCUUGACAAUAAUAAAACUUCAUAUGAUAAUAAAAAUAUAACUAAAAAAAGCUUAAGAUCUUUAAAUUAUUUAUACAAACAUCAUUAAAAUAAAACAACCUCAAUUUAAAAUUAUUAAUAGAUUCUACUUAUUUUAUCAUAGCAUUGACAUUAAUUGACUUUGUAACAAGAUGGAUUAUGAAAGAUUUAGUAUGUUCAUUGUCCAAAAGAAAAUUAUUAAAAAUACAAAAUAUAUAAAAAUAUUGCAAUGAAUAAAGAUCUAUAUAUAUAUAUAUAUAUAUAUAUGUAUUAUUAUUAUUAUCAUAUUGUAUAUUACAAUCAAUGUAUUAGAAAAAAAAAAAAAAAUCUUCUACUACAAUCCAAAGUAGAUAUUUAAAAUACAACUUCAAGUUUGAAAGGGAAGAAAUCUUGAAUUAUAAGUAGCACAAAAAUUCAUUAAAGUCUAUUCAAAACUAGCACAAUUGUAAUAUCAAAGAAAGCACAUUAGAGCCAUUUGAUGAUAUUACAAAUUUGUCAAAACUUAUAAUGGCUUUUUAUUGAUGAUAUCCAUAAUAAUCAAAGAUUGAUCAAUAAAAAUAAAAUGGUAUAAAUUAAAGAAAAAAUAAAUCAAAUGAUCAAUUCUUACAACUUCUUUGCAAGGUGAUAAAUCAACAACUAGAAAAUUUAUCUCAAAAGUUAUAAUUUAUAGAAUGUCAAAAUAAUCAAUAAGAUUGUGUCAACCUUUAAGUUAUCAAAACCAAAAUGAAGAAUUUUAAUGGAGAUAUGUCUUUCUUUAAAUUAAAUAUAUAAUAUGUAUAAUAUGUAUAAAUAUAUAUAGGAAAUUGUUAAAGUCACAUCUCAAUUUUAUUAAAGCCCCAUCCCCUCCUCCAACCUCAUGAUCUAUUUUGUACAUGUCUCUUAUCCUCGACCUCUUUGCUAGCCACCAUCCCUUCCUCCCAUCUCUAUCCAAUCCCAACGUUACUUCCAUCUCUGACCUCAUCUCCUAAUCCCACCCUUGUUCCUACCUUAUCCCUACCUUGUCUCUAUCUUGUCCCAAUUCUACCAUCAUCCCUAACAUAGUAAUUAUAUUUUUAUUUUUAAAAAUAUUUUUUGUAUCCUAAAAACAACAUAAAUAAAUACUUUGUAUCUAAAAUAGAAACUUAAGAAAUUUUUAUUUAUACUUUUAAAUUUAGUAUAGAUUAUGAUUUUAAACAAAGUAAAUUUUAUAUUUUAAUUUAAUUUAUAAAUAAAUAAUAUUUUAAAUUUAUAAAUAAUUAAAAUAUUAAUUUUUAAAAUCUAAAUUAUCUUUGAAACACUCUAAGAUAUUUAACAAAUUCUAAAAGCAUAUUACGUAAGAUUUUAAAUAAUAAUAUACAAAAUUUUACAUACUACAAAUCAUUUUCUAAAAUAUGAUAAAAUAAAUACUUAAAAUUUUAAAAAAUAUUAUUAAUAUUUAAUUUUAUAUUAUCAUUUAAUUAAAACUCAAUCAACUGAAUAGAAUAGUUGUUAUUUAUAGUUUGGAACUAUCUUAGUUAUAAUAAGAUAUUGACCGCUAUUUUAGUUAUAAUAAAAUAGUUGUCAAUGUAUUAAUUCUUCAAUUAUUUUAAUUUAGAUUAUUUCAAUGAAUUAAUCAAAAUGAAAUAACUUUUUUUUUUACCUUUUAUUUUCCUAUCCAAUUAGUAUUUUGAAAAAAAUUGUAUAAAAGUAUUUGUAAAAUACUAAGGUGUGUAAUAAUGUGAAAUAAAUAAAUAAAUAAAUAAAAAGAAAAAAGAAACAACAUAAACAUUCAGUAGUUAUUUAUAAAGAUUUUUUUAAAAUAAUAAUAAGCUAAAAUAGACUUUUUCAUAUUCAAAGAGUCUUGAAUAUUUCAUCACAAGGCCAGAGUAUAAUUGAGAAAUUAAUAAUAUUGAAUAUAGGGUCAGAGAUAAGGGGUGGGAUUGAGGACCGGAGUGGGGACAGAGAUGGAGGUAGAAUACAGACAAGGUGGAGAUGGGAGGUGGAGACAUGGAAUGGAAGCUAGGAACAGGGUCAAUGACAAGGGACAUGUUCAAGAUGGAUCAUGAGAUGGAUAGAGAGGUGUGGCUUUAACAAAUUUGGGGUGUGCCUUUCACAAAUCCUUAUAUAUAUAUAUAUAUAUAUAUAUAGGGUACCAGAAUUUUAUAGCUUGACUGUAUACUCGAUAGAACAAUAAAUGUAUUCUUUUAAGAUAAUUAGGGUAGCUUCAAAAAUGUACGACUAAUUGAUUUAUCUUGUUGCCUUAUUAAAGGACAAUAUUGAUAGCUUGAAGAAUCCACACAUUCUUUGUGGAGUAUAUAGAUGAACAUUUUGUAAGUGAUCCCGUUCAACAAAUUUAGGACUUGAGGAACACAUGAAUCAAUUCGACCAUUUACUUAGAAUUGAUGCAUAAAUUAUUUAUAUUAAAGGUUCUCCAGUUUCAAUAUAUUUGACAAAAAAAUGUCAUGGACUUUUUGCAUUUCUAAUCCUUAUCACAGUUUAUGGACUCCUACUUAUGUAAUUUCUUAUUUAUCCUUCACAUUUCAAAACAGUGAUUCUUAGGAAAAUUGUUGAAGAAAUUGAAGGCCAGUCAAGUACAGAACAUUUUCCCUCCUGUCAGCGAGUAUUCAAGUCCUCAGAAAUUGAUUGAUAAACAGCCUUGCUUAAUUAUUCGCAAAUUACUCCAUUAUUAAAGAACUUAUGAAUUCCAUGAUCUUACUCAGGCUGUGACAUAUGGUACGAACCUUCUACACAGCGACAUCAGUCCCCUCAGACAAAUGCCUCGUGUGUGCUUCAGAGAAUCUGGCAAGCCAGCGGCUGCCAAGCUCCGGCAAGCUUCUUCCAGCAUUACGAUAAUACAUCGCACUGCCGGCUCCGCACGCCUUCCCUUGGGCCUUAAUCUCAGAUUCGUCAUCUAAAGUCGUCAUCACCGGGAUCCCCUCACCUAAACCCUAAACCCUAAACACACGGCUCCCACCGCGCCGCUUCACCCUCACAUCCAACCCUCUGCUCCUCCACCCGCACCCAAUAGCAUCAUAGAGAUUCCCAUAGAAUACGUCAUCACAUCCCCGAAGGGCUUCUAAGAUGUCCCUAUUCUUUUUUCUCAUCAUCUGCUCC
rnacentral:lncRNA from 1 species